rnacentral:rRNA from 1 species
GACGAACCGUGCGAACGUUGUUCGGAAUCACUGGGCUUAAAGGGCGCGUAGGCGGGUCACCAAGUCCGGGGUGAAAUCUUUCGGCUUAACCGGAAAACAGCCUUGGAUACUGGUGACCUCGAGGGAGGUAGGGGUCUGUGGAACUUCUGGUGGAGCGGUGAAAUGCGUUGAUAUCAGAAGGAACGCCGGUGGCGAAAGCGACGGACUGGACCUCCACUGACGCUGAGGCGCGAAAGCUAGGGGAGCAAACGGGAUUAGAUACCCCGGUAGUCCUAGCCCUAAACGAUGGGUACUAGGUUGUGGACUAGACAUGGGUUCACAGCCGAAGCAAAAGUGUUAAGUACCCCGCCUGGGGAGUAUGGUCGCAAGGCUGAA